AUCAAGCUGACGAGUCCCAAACGGGACGAAACGCGCAUCCUGCAU
rnacentral:hammerhead_ribozyme from 1 species